AAUAAUUAAAUUAAACAUUUAUCUUUUAAAUAAAUUUUAUAAAAUUAUUUAUAAUUAUUA
rnacentral:tRNA from 1 species